ACGCUCGACACCUACGGGAGCAGCAGUGGGGAAUAUUGCACAAUGGGGGAAACCCUGAUGCAGCGACGCCGCGUGAAGGAAGAAGUAUUUCGGUAUGUAAACUUCUAUCAGCAGGGAAGAAACUGACGGUACCUGACUAAGAAGCACCGGCUAAAUACGUGCCAGCACGCCGCGGUAAUCUGAGGCGGGCGUGGACGAAGGC
rnacentral:rRNA from 1 species